rnacentral:rRNA from 1 species
CCCCUAGAUGUUCUGGGCCGCACGCGCGCUACACUGAACAGUUGAACAAGUCUUAACCUUGGCCGAUAGGUCUGGGUAAUCUUUGAACGCUGUUCGUGAUUGGGAUAGACCUUUGCAAUUAUGGGUCUUCAACGAGGAAUUCCUAGUAAACGCAAGUCAUCAGCUUGCAUUGAUUACGUCCCUGCCCUUUGUACACACCGCCCGUCGCACCUACCGAUUGAAUGGUCCGGUGAAAUCUCGGGACGGCGGCUUGGUCGCUUGCGUCCGACUGCUGAAACUUGAUUAAACCAUAUCAUUUAGAGGAAGGUGAAGUCGUAACA